rnacentral:rRNA from 1 species
CACAGAGUUAGCCGGCGCUUUUUCUGCAGGUACCGUCACUUUCGCUUCUUCCCUGCUAAAAGAGGUUUACAACCCGAAGGCCGUCGUCCCUCACGCGGCGUUGCUGCAUCAGGCUUGCGCCCAUUGUGCAAUAUUCCCCA